GGCCGGGCCUGCUCACUGGCUGCGGGCCUCACCGCGUGCACUGCCCACUUACUUCUUUGGCUGAUUUGAAGCCGGUGUGGGGUAGGCUGAAUCCGGGGAUCCCAUGCGGGAAUCAGCUGCGCGAGCAGAGCCCGGCGCGGGACAGACAGUGCUCUCCACCAAUCAGGGGUGAGGUGCCCCGGCCUCCUGCCCAAUGGGCUGCGCUCCUAACGGACCCGCCGGGGACGCCUAGGUGGCGGCUACACCGCGGGCCGCCUGGCCGCGCGCUGCUGGGACCUAAGCCAAAGGGGACGUGGGCGGUCUUAGGGGCUGCGGGGCCGGGGCUUCAGGGCCCGCAGCGCUCAUUUCUGACCGGCCUGGCUCGGCUGGGCCAGUGAUGGCGCGUAGAUGGAGAGGGCUGCAGAGGCGCGGGAACCCCCUCUUCUCGGCGCCCCCUCCUCCGAGAAACCCUGGGUGGCCACCUCUAUUUGAUAAUUACUGGCGAUUGGAAUGCGAAAGUUGGAGACAAAGAAGGAUCAGUAGUUGGAAAAUAAGGCCUUGGUGAUAGAAACAAUGAUAGAAUUUUGCAAGACCAACCACUUCAUUGCAAAUACCUUCUUUCACCAACAUAAAUGGCGACUAUACACAUGGACCUCGCCAGAUGGAACACACAGAAAUCAAACAGACUACAUCUGUGGAAAGAGACGAUGGAAAAGCUCAAUAUCAUCAGUCAGAAUAAGGCCAGGGGCCGACUGUGGAACAGACCAUCAAUUGCUCAUAUGCAAGUUCAAGCUGAAACUGAAGAGAAUCAGAGCAAGUCCACGAGAGCCAAAAUACGACCUUGAGUAUAUCCCACCUGAAUUUAGAGACCAUCUCAAGAAUGGAUUUGACACAUUGAACACUGGUGACCGAAGACCAGAUGAAUUGUGGAAUGACAUCAAGGACAUCAUCCAUGAGGAAAGCAAGAGGUCACUGAAAAGACAGAAAAGAAAGAAAAGACCAAGGUGGAUGUCAGAGGAGACUCUGAAACUUGCUCUUGAGCACUGAGCAGCUAAAGCAAAAGGAAGAAUAGAUGAAGUAAAAGAACUGAACAGAAGAUUUCAAAGGGCCGCUCGAGAAGACAAAGUAAAGUAUUAUAAUGACGUGCAAAGAGCUGGAAAUGGAAAACCAAAAGGGAAGAACACGCUCGGCAUUUCUCAAGCUGAAAGAACGGAAGAAAAAAUUCAAGCCUCAAGUUGCAAUAGUGAAGGAUUCCAUGGGGAAAAUAUUCAGUGAUGCAGGAAGCACGAAAAGAAGAUGGAAGGAAUACACAGAGUCAUUAUACCAAGAAGAAUUAGUCAAUAUUCAACCAUUUCAAGAGGUGGCAUAUGAUCAGGAAGCGAUGGUACUGAAGGAAGAAGUCCAAGCUGCUCUGAAGGCAUUGGUGAAAAACAAGGCUCCAGGAAUUGAUGGAAUAUCAAUUGAGAUGUUUCAACAGACAGAUGCAGGGCUGGAGAUGCUCACUCAUCUAUGCCAAGAAAUAUGGAAGACUGCUUCCUGGCCAACUGACUGUAAGAGAUCCAUAUUUAUGCCUAUUCCCAAGAAAGGUGAUGCAAGCAAAUAUGGAAAUUAUAGAACAAUAUCAUUAAUAUCACACACAAGCAAAAUUCAGAGAUCAUUCAAAAGUGGCUGCAGCAGUAUAUCGACAGGGAACUGCCAGAAAUUCAGGCCAGUUUCAGAAAAGGACAUGGAACCGGGGAUAUCGUUGCUGAUGUCAGAUGGAUCCUGGCUGAAAGCAGAGAAUGCCAGAAGGAUAUUUACCUGUGUUUUAUUGACUAUGCAAAGGCAUUUGACUGUGUGGAUCAUAACAAACUAUGGAUAACAAACUGAGAAGAAUGGGAAUUCCAGAACACUUAAUUGUGCUCAUGAGGAGCCUUUACAUAGGUCAAGUGGCAGUUGUUCGGACAGAACAAGGGGAUACUGAUUGGUUUAAAGUCAGGAAGGGUGUGCAUCAGGGUUGUAUUCUUUCACCAUACCUAUUUAAUCUGUAUGCUGAACAAAUAAUCUGAGACGGUGGUCUAUAUGAAGAAGGACGGGGCAUUAGGAUUGGAGGAAGACUCAUUAAGUACCUGCGUUAUGCAGAUGACACACCCUUGCUUGCUGAAAGUGAAGAGGACUUGAAGUACUUACUAAUGAAUAUCAAAAACCACAGCCUUCAGUAUGGAUUACACCUCAACAUAAAGGAAACAAAAAUCCUCACAACUGGACCAAUGAGCAACAUCAUGAUAAAAGGAGAAAAGAUUGAAGUUGUCAAGGAUUUCAUUUUACUUGGAUCCACAAUCAACAGCCAUGGAAGCAGCAGUCAAGAAAUCAAAAGACGCGUUGCAUUGGGCAAAUCUGCUGCAAAGGACCUCUUCAAAGUGCUGAAGAGCAAAGACGUCACCCUGAAGACUAAGGUGCACCUGACCCAAGCCAUGAUAUUUUCAAUCACGUCAUAUGCAUGUGAAAGCUGGACAGUGAAUGAAUAAGGAAGACUGAAGAAGAGUUGACACCUCUGAAUUGUGGUGUUGGCGAAGAAUAUUGAAUACACCGUGGACUGCCAAAAGAAUGAACAAAUCUGUAUUGGAAGAAGUGCAGCCAGAAUGCUCCUUAGAGGCAAGGAUGUCGAGACUGUCUCUUACAUACUUUGGACAUGUCGUCAGGAGGGAUCAGUCCCGGGAGAAGGACCUCACGCUUGGCAGAGUACAGCAUAACAAUGAUCCUAAGGAUGGCUCAGGAGCGACCGGGCAGUGUUUCAUUCUGUUGUGCAUAGGGUCGCUAUGAGUCGGAACCAACUUGACAGCACCUAACAACAACAACGACACCCUCUGGGCUUAAUGAGGCACGGGCCUAGCUUUCCUGGGAUGGGAGGCCAAGGUCUCAGACAGGUCCUCUGUGGUGGAAGAUGGUUCGGCAUCUAGCGGCGAGCCCCUUGGUCCUUCCAUGCGCAUGGGGACAUGGCAUGCCUCCACUCCUGUUGGUGGAAGGUGUCUUUGAGCUUUCCUGGCAGCCACCGCCCUUCCAUUCGGCCCCACAGUUGUUCCCCUCCCUCGGGCUGCGGACAGUGACGGCGCUGGCAUUUUAAAAUAGCUGUCGAGGUUUUCGUGGCAUGCUUAUGUCCACACAUAAUUUUGAAUCUUGAGCCGUCCUGUCACACACGCGAUGUGGAGAUUAUCACCCCAUUUUACAGAUGUGAGAACUCAGGACUUGACUGAGGUCUGGUGCGUAAGCGGUGGAGCUGGAACUUGACCUCACAUUAAAAAAAAAAGUUCAGUUUCUAGAUCGGUUUCUGCUCCCCCGCCCCAUUGUUGUUGAAAAUUCCUCUGCUGCAGCUUGAUCUGUAUUGUGUUCAUGAAAAUCUUGCAGUAUCUCCGCAUCACCUUCAGAAUAAAGUUCAGAGUCUAGCAUUCAAGUUUCCCCUUCAUUGGGCCCCUUGCUUACCUUUCCAACUUAUUUCCCACAAUCCAUUCCCGUCCUCUUCUCCAGCAAAAUUGGCCCUACCCCUGACCUCAGUAGAUGUCCCUUACUUUCCGACUUCCCUGCUCUCUCCCACACUUUUUAAGCUACUUAGUCCUUCAAGGGUGAUUGCCAGUCUCAGGUCUGCAAAGCAGGAGCAGUCUCCAAGCUGGACUUACUUCCUUCACCCUGCGCUGAUGGGCCAUGGUAUUUCCCUUGGUCUGGGCACUGAAAGGUGCUAUCUCUUCUUCCCCCUUAUAUACCUCAUUUUGUCCAUCUGCUUUUCACUGCCACAGGGUUACUCAUUUAUUUGUGUAUGUUUCAUGCCUGUAACUGGAAGGCUGCAACUUGAGAUAGGGGCCCAAAUCUGGUUAAUUUUUGUGGUUCUCACAGUGUCUAGCACAGUAGCUCAAACAUGGUAGGUAGCCCAUAAAUGUGAGCAAAUGAGUCCUCCCUGCCUCCAACCUGGUCCAUGUGUAUAUGGGAAUGUUUAUUGCCAGGCAUUGUGGGAGACUGCAAGAAUCUUCCCGAAAGAGUAAAACUGGGGCACAUCAAAUGCAAAUGGAUGAGAUUAGUCUUCUGUAGAAGUAACCCAGCCAAUAAAAAAGGUGGCUGAAGAAUUUCUAGGAACAUCCAAAAUUUAACCAGUGAAUCCAGGGUACAGUCUCAGCAAGGGUUAUGUCAGUUUAGCUCAUAUCUAUGAGGCAGCCACGUUUGAUAGUCAUGUGUCAAUAGGAACGUUUCAACUGUAAGGUGGUGGGCAGGGUGGUAUUUCCCGCAAAUAAUAGGGACUUAGGGUCAAACAAGAAAUGGCACACUCUAUACCCUUUUUGGGAGAUCACAGUGUAUGUUUGAAAACAGUAAAGAAGCCAGUUGAUUUUGUUUAACCAGCAUUUCUCCAAUUUCUUUAUCCAUAAAACCCCUUUUGGGGAUCCCAUAUGCACUUUGUAGGAGCCACAGAACCUGCUUUUGGGAGUGCUGCAACAGGAUAGAAAGAGCAGGACGUGGUUGGGGUGGCUUCCUUGCUGUAUGAGAGGAAAGGCGUUCUGAGCUUUAAACAAAAGCUGCAUUGUUUGAGUAACCUUAUUUUUUUUAAACUCAUAUUUGACUAAAGUUAUUCAGUGUUCCAAGAUCCAAAUAUUUGUAAUGAUCCCAUUUAAACCUGACAACCUCCAGUUGUCAAUUUGACAGAUAAGGAAACCAAGGCUCCAAGAAGGCUUAUAGCUCGUUAGUGGCAGAGCUGGUAUUGGAACUUGGAUAAGUUGAUUGGUUGAGAUGUAUUUUAUCUAUAAUUUUUCUUUCUCCUGGGUUAAGUGCUCAGCUGCUAACCAAAAGGUUGACAGUUCAAGUCCACCCAGAGGCAUCUCAGAAGAAAGCCCUGGAAAUCUACUUCCUAAAAACGAGCUAUUGAACACCCUGUGGAGCACAGUUCUACUCUGACACACAUGGGGUCAUCAUGAGUUGGAAUUGACAGCAACUGGUUCUGGUUUUUAAGUUGACUGGUUGAGAUAUAUUUUACCUAUAAUUUUUCUUUCUCCCAGGUCAAAAAUUAAAAUGAAGUACAUUCUAGUUACUGGCGAUGUUAUGUCAGGAAUUGGAAAAGGAAUCAUUGCCAGCAGCGUGGGCACAAUUCUGAAGUCAUGUGGUUUACGUGUAACUUCAAUUAAAGUUGACCCGUACAUUAACAUUGAUGCAGGCACCCUCUCUCCUUAUGAGCAUGCAAAGGCAAUAGUCUGACCACUGGAAAGAUAUAUGAGCACGUCGUUAACAAGGAACGCAAAGGAGAUUACUUGGGAAAAACCAUCCAAGUUGUCCCUCACAUCACAGAUGCAAUCCAGGAGUGGGUAAUGAGGCAGGCGUUAAAUCCUGUAGACGAAGGUGGUCUGGAACCUCAAGUGUGUGUUAUUGAGCUUGGUGGAACAGUGGGAGAUAUAGAAAGCAUGCCUUUCACUGAGGCUUCAGUCAAUUCCAAUUCAAAAUCAAAAGAAAGAACUUUUGUAUUUUGUAAUAUUCUCGUCAGCCUAGUCCCUGAGGAUCAGAUGGAAACAUUUGGAAAGGAGAAGUUGCAGUUAAGAGAAAGCGGAUUGAAGCCAAGUUGAACAAGUGAACAAGUUCAAGAGAAGAGUAAACCCACUUGAGAUAGUGUUCAGACGCUUAGAGGGCUUGGGCUUUCCCCAGAUCUGGUCACCUGUGUCCAGGAUGUCUCAUGCACCUACCGAGUCCCCUUGUUAUUAGAAGAGCAAGGGGUUGUAGAUUAUUUUCUUAGACGACUCAAUCUCCUUAUUGAGAGGCAGCCAACAAAAAUGCUGAGGAAGAGGAAGGUGAUGGCAGACAGGAUAUGACUACUUACUGGAGACCUGCUCUAUUGCCCUCGUGGGCAAAUACACCAAGCUCUUUGACUCAUACGCCUCUGUCACUAAAGCUCUGGAGCACUCUGCACUGGCCAUCAACCGCAAAUUGGAACUCAAGUACAUAGAUUCUACAGACCUGGAACCGAGCACCUUACAAGAAGAUCCCAUCUGGUACUAUGAAGCGUGGCAGAAGCUCUGCAGUGCUCAGCAAAAAAUCUAUUUCAAGAGCUUCAAGAACACUUUCAAGCUCUGACUGCAACAUUAAGCUUCAGAAAUAUCCUUUUUUAAUAACAAAUACUACAAUGCUUUUAGACUGUUAAAUUAUCAUGGAAUGUAUUUUUGUUAUCUGCUAUUAGUGGGCAAUUGUUUACUUAGGACUUUCCAGUAUUCACCCCUGCAUUUUUAUGUGGCAUCCUGACGUAGUAAUCACCAUUCACCUUAAGCAGAUGACUUUACUUCCUUUUUGGCAGACAAUGCAGGACAUUUGUAUGGCAAGUGUAAAGUGCAAGGAAUACAACAUGCAAUACCACCAAAUGGCACUUUCCCAAAAGCCCUAAAUCUGGUCGAUCUGCCCUGUAACAUUCUGCUUGUUAUUCUCUAACAACAACCAGAAAUCUGCAAACAUAAUAGUGAAGGUCUCCACCACAGAAUACUAGCUAUGGUUCUCCCCCACCUUUGUUUUAACUUCAGUUGCUCACUGUUUUGUCUUAGAAACGUGAAAUCAAACAGAAUCAGGCUAGGAUGUUUGUUUCCAGUUUGAGCAAAUCCAGAUAUGAGCAACCUAAACAUUCAAUCUGAGUUCACUUUACACAACUAAAUGCAUUCCUUAAAAACUCCGUGUGACGCAACACUUAGGGGACGCUGAGCUUCUAAGGGUAAUGGGAAAGAUUUGGGAACAGCUCAUUGUGGUGGUUGAACCUGAGGAAUGUAUUUAAUGUCACUGACAGUACAUGUAAAGAUUGUUGAAAUGACAAAUGCUUUCUCACCUAUAUAUUUGCCACAAAACAAAACAAGCAAAUCCACGGCACUAAAAAUGUACAUCAAUUGUGAGGUGCAUCCUGUGUUCAAAACAUGCAAAUGCAGAGAAAAAUGUGCAUCUGAGAGGCAAGAAACAAUGGUGUUAUACAACAAAGAGGGCAUUGAUAAGAAUGGGGGGGGGAACUCUUCUAAUUAUUAAAAAAAAAAAAUCUAUGUUUAAAGUAUUUGCAUAUGGACCAUUUAUUUGUAACUUUUGAUGUUGCAGCUGGGUUCCCAUAGGAGGAAAAGAUUUUGAAAUGUCAAAAUUUAAACCAUAGCAAAACUAGUGUAAAAAAGAAUUAAUUUUCAUUAUAGUUACAAGCUCAUUAGAAUUUGACUAAAAUAUACCAAUGUCAUGUCCCUGACAUCAUGUCCAGUGUUACAGCACCAAAGUGAGCCACCUUCUCACACUGACCUCUCAGGUUUAAAACUUAAAUAUGCACAUUAAAAAAAAAAGUAAUAAUAACUUCAUUGGUGGUAACUAAUUUGCAUUGACAUCAUGAUUUUUGGUUUUCUCAUUUUAAAAACUGCCAUCUGUUUAUAUCAUCU